ACAAGCGGUGGAUGAUGUGGUUAAUUCGAUGCAACGCGAAAACCUUACCACCUUUGACAUGUACGGAACUCGCCAGAGAUGGCUUGGUGCUCGAAAGAGAACCGUAACACAGGUGCUGCAUGGCUGUCGUCAGCUCGUGUCGUGAGAUGUUGGGUUAGGUCCCGCAACGAGCGCAACCCUUGUCAUUAGUUGCUACAUUUAGUUGGGCACUCUAAUGAGACUGCCGGUGACAAGCCGGAGGAAGGUGGGGAUGACGUCAGGUCCUCAUGGCCCUUAUAGGUGGGGCUACACACGUCAUACAAUGGCUGGUACAGAGGGUUGCCAACCCGCGAGGGGGAGCUAAUCCCAUAAAACCAGUCGUAGUCCGGAUCGCAGUCUGCAACUCGACUGCGUGAAGUCGGAAUCGCUAGUAAUCGCGGAUCAGAAUGUCGCGGUGAAUACGUUCCCGGGUCUU
rnacentral:rRNA from 1 species